GCGAAGCGAGCUCGGCCAGGUUUGAAGCAUCAGAUUGUGAGUCUGAAGGUUGUGGGUUCGAAUCCCAUUCUUCGCC
rnacentral:tRNA from 1 species